GGGGGGGGGGUGAUAUACCCAUGCCAAAUAAAGGGGAAUAAUGGGGGUCUUUAUACCCAUGCCAAAUAAAGGGGAAUAAUGGGGGGGGGGUAUACCCAGUGUAUACAUGUUGUAGCAGGUUUUAUCACACAAUGUAUAGUUUGGAUGAUAUCCCUUAUAAAGUGACAUCUUAUCGUUAUUAUAAAAUGUGCCCUUUAAUGUGACAAUAAAUGAAACCUUGGGAGCUGAUUAUUAUACACUGGCUCUAUAUUCCAAUAUGUGUAGGAAUCAGGGAGAUAUGUUAAUAUGAGGUCCUUCAUACAAUCUGCAUGACAUCCUGCCUUUCCAGUUACCUGACAUACAGCACUGUCUCACUGAAAGCCUCAGAGACCAUAAGCUCCCAGCAAACACACAGGAAUUACUGUCCAUAUAAUCCAGCAUUCUGCAUGGAGCUACAAAGGGUUAAUCCGAGACUAAAAUAAUGUAUCUGCCAGUGUGACCCUCAUAUUAAUACAUUGUGUCUCCUUACAUGGACACCCAUCUAUACAUACUGUGCAUGCCAUGGAUCACACAUAGGGAAUAUAUUAGCAACACAAUUGGAAAAACCCUCCUCUUAGUCAGAACUACGACUCCCAUGACGCCUUUUAGACGUUUUGAUGACGAAGCAUUGUAGGAGUUGUAGGUCAGCAACAGAUGUCUUCUUUUGCAGAUUCCUGGAUUACAUGCCCAGGUCAUAAUGCCAUGCUCGCCCUGUUUUAGCCAUCUGAAUUGUGACAGUUUGGCUUCUCCCACUGUGGAUCCUGGGCAAUGCUGAUUGCCCCCCCCUCCCCCUGGGCACAUGGACUGGUACAGCCCAAUACAGGUCCCGUCCCUCCCUUCCUGCCAUGAUGGGGAUCCUGGGCACAUGGAUGGACCCAGCUCAAUGCUGAUCCCCACCACCACCCCCCCUCCCUCCUGCCAUGAUGGGGAUCCUGGGCACAUGGAUGGACACAGCUCAAUGCUGAUCCCCACCACCACCCCCCCUCCCUCCUGCCAUGAUGGGGAUCCUGGGCACAUGGAUGGACACAGCUCAAUGCUGAUCUCCCCACCCCCCCUCCUGCCAUGCUUGGAAUCCUGGCACAUGGACUGGUACAGCCCAAUACUGCCC